rnacentral:rRNA from 1 species
CCAGACUCCUACGGGAGGCAGCAGUGAGGAAUAUUGGUCAAUGGGCGAGAGCCUGAACCAGCCAAGUCGCGUGAGGGAAGACGGCCCUACGGGUUGUAAACCUCUUUUGUCGGGGAGCAAGGCCCGCCACGUGUGGCGGGAAGGAGAGUACCCGAAGAAAAAGCAUCGGCUAACUCCGUGCCAGCAGCCGCGGUAAUACGGAGGAUGCGAGCGUUAUCCGGAUUUAUUGGGUUUAAAGGGUGCGUAGGCGGAAGGUUAAGUCAGCGGUAAAAUGUCGGUGCUCAACACCGGCCUGCCGUUGAAACUGGUCUUCUUGAGUGAGCGAGAAGUAUGCGGAAUGCGUGGUGUAGCGGUGAAAUGCAUAGAUAUCACGCAGAACUCCGAUUGCGAAGGCAGCAUACCGGCGCUCAACUGACGCUGAGGCACGAAAGCGUGGGGAUCGAACAGGAUUAGAUACCCGAGUAU